GCUCCCAAUGCGACCCCAGGUCAGGCGGGACUACCCGCUGAGUU
rnacentral:rRNA from 1 species